rnacentral:lncRNA from 1 species
AAAUGUGUAUGAAUGACAGCUGGACAUACCUCAAUCUAGCAUGAAGCACCCAGGACUUCACUGCUCCCUUCGGGAGCACCAUCUGCUCAGGUGCUUCCCUGUUGACUCCUCAUGAUGAGAACGUUGCCCCUGGAUUCUACUUCAGGACCACAUAAGGCCUUCACAACCUUGCACACUUUGGUGCUCCAUGUGCUUCUGAGC